rnacentral:rRNA from 1 species
AAGACGAUGACGUUGAUAGGCCGGGUGUGUAAGUGCAGCGAUGCGUUGAGCUAACCGGUACUAAUGAACCGUGAGGCUUAACCUU